rnacentral:rRNA from 1 species
UACGAACUGUGCGAACGUUAUUCGGAAUCACUGGGCUUACAGGGUGCGUAGGCGGCCUUUCAAGUCAGGUGUGAAAGCCCUCGGCUCAACCGAGGAACUGCGCUUGAAACUGAAGGGCUCGAGUCAGCUAGAGGUGCACGGAACUUCCAGUGGAGCGGUGAAAUGUGUUGAUAUUGGAAGGAACACCGGAGGCGAAAGCGGUGCACUGGGGCUGGUCUGACGCUGAGGCACGAAAGCCAGGGGAGCGAACGGG